AGCGAACGCUGGCGGCAGGCCUAACACAUGCAAGUCGAACGAACCCUUCGGGGUUAGUGGCGGACGGGUGAGUAACACGUGGGAACGUGCCUUUAGGUUCGGAAUAACUCAGGGAAACUUGUGCUAAUACCGAAUGUGCCCUUCGGGGGAAAGAUUUAUCGCCUUUAGAGCGGCCCGCGUCUGAUUAGCUAGUUGGUGAGGUAAUGGCUCACCAAGGCUACGAUCAGUAGCUGGUCUGAGAGGAUGACCAGCCACAUUGGGACUGCGACACGGCCCAAACUCCUACGGGAGGCAGCCGUGGGGAAUCUUGCGCAAUGGGCGAAAGCCUGACGCAGCCAUGCCGCGUGGAUGAUGAAGGUCUUAGGAUUGUAAAAUCCUUUCACCGGUGAAGAUAAUGACUGUAGCCGGAGAAGAAGCCCCGGCUAACUUCGUGCCAGCCGCCGCAGUAACAC
rnacentral:rRNA from 1 species